GCUCGCGUGGGGUAAUGGAUAGCCUAAAACCUUGCGGAGGUUUUGGUUCGGGUUCGAAUCCCGGCGUGAGCA
rnacentral:tRNA from 1 species